rnacentral:rRNA from 1 species
GUCCACGCCGUAAACGAUGGAUACUAGCUGUUGGAAGCAAUUUCAGUGGCUAAGCGAAAGUGAUAAGUAUCCCACCUGGGGGAGUACGAACGCAAGUUUGAAACUCAAAGGAAUUGACGGGGGCCCGCACAAGCGGUGGAGCAUGUGGUUUAAUUCGAUGAUACGCGAGGAACCUUACCAAGUCUUGACAUCCCGAUGACCGAUCCUUAACCGGAUCUUCUCUUCGGAGCAUCGGAGACAGGUGGUGCAUGGUUGUCGU